ensembl:ncRNA K11D9.8 ncRNA
AAUGCUCGCGCCGACUUCAAAAGUUUCUCUUUGAAGAAAGCACCGAAUUUUGCAAGGAAAAGCAGUAUUUUUUUGCUCUGCAGCCGGACGAGGGGGGGGGGGAUAAAAACAAGUUCGAUCUGUCUGAACUCUCUCUCGUUCCCGCGCUUUCUCUCGCGUUUUGAAUAGAAUGCAUGAGAUAGUGUGACGAAUACUUGGAGACGCAGAGACAAUGAGAGCAUCUGUCCAGACGGAGGUCGUGGCGUGAUUGAAUGAGCUCGUCGCUCGAGGGCACGAAGACAAGUUGGCACAGAUAACGGGCGGGGCUUACCGACGAUCCCGGAGGUUCACGUGAAACAGAGAAGAAGUCGCAGCAGAG